rnacentral:other from 1 species
ACCCUGCUGUGUGCGUCAGCGCCGUAUGAUAUGAUCCAACACUUUCUUAUCGGGAGCCGGAACUCCGCUGCCGGAUUGCAGACCUCCCAUCGCAAGAUGGAAGAAGGGAGCGUGAAAGCACGGGAGGCUACCCACCUUGUCUUACAAGACGGGGUUUUAUUAGCGGCGCAACGGCAUGGCGGGGGC